UUGACCUCUCGCACGUCUUGAGAAGAGUCUCCGUAGAUCUCUCAUCUUCUCCCGCCCGUAACAGAAACUUCCCAAAUUUUCUGCCGCGAGAAGCCCUAGAAGAAUCUCUUAAUCCAUAAUCGGCGGCGGCGCCUUCCAUUCCAAAUCUCCGCCUAGUGCAGGGGCAGGGUUGAUGGAUCCUCGAUGGACUGCAAAAGCCUAUGAGAUCCGCAUGAAGGUCAUCUGCACCAAUCCCUGCCACACCGACAUCAUCUUCUCGCAAGGCAAGGAUCUUCUUAGGACACGAGGCCUGUGGUUAAGUUUCUAGGAUUUUGUCGCUGAUGAGUACGUGAAGGCGGCCGGGGACAAAGGCAAAUGUAUAAGAUGUAACGAACACACACUCUGAAUUUGGGUGGUGCUGCGUGCAGGGUGGUGGUGAGCUUGCCGGAGCACCUAGAGGGGUCUACGGUGGGGGACACAGUGGGACCAACGUUCGUGUAGCAGUGCUACUCGUGCAGCAGCAGAGCGUUUGAGUGGAAGAAUGUGUGCACUAUGCUGUCAUUCGUCGUCGGCCCCGAGAUGCUCCGCGAUGGCACCAUCAAGUUCAGGGACAGCCAUGGGGCAUUUUGCUGCUCGUCUUCCUCUGUUUUGUGGUUUUUGUUUUUUGCGUUUCUGUUGAUUUAUGUAUAUUUUUAAGCGGAACUUAGUCAUAUUCCUACACUAGACUGAAGAUGCAGAAGUUAGAAGUUACAUGGAUACUAGAACCAAGGAGGAACAGUUAGAUACCUAGGCAAGUACGAGGAUAUUCUUUCUUACAUCGCCCAUCUUAUUUAGAAAUAUACUAGAAACUGAUUACACAAUCUUCAACUUUGCAGUGUCUAUUUUUCUCUUUGAAACAACACGGACUACUAUUGAAAAAGUUGCUUGCCAAUUAGGACCAUAAUCUUAUACUUGAAAUACUGAACCAUCUCCCUGGAGAAAAUUUAUUUGCUUGUCAUAUAUAUUGGCAGUACGAACGUGCAUCAAAUUCUCAGUAUCCGGAUUAACUUAGAAGGUUCAUAUUAAAAAAAACAUUUUAGGCUAGAGACCUUUGUUUGAGUAAUGAUGUUCUGAUGACUGGCAGCUCAGCUACUGCAUGAUUGUAACAGCAGAACUUAAAAUUUACUUCUCUGGUCCACCCAGGGUAUUAGCUGAGGCGACGGCUUGUCUAGGCAUAUUUGAUUUCAGUAUAUAUACAUUUGAAAUAAUGAUUCGUGGACUUCUAAGUUAGCAAUCCAUAUUAUAUAUGAAUAUGCAGGUUAAUUACAAAAUUUACCAAUCCGUACUAUGAAUCUGCAGGUUAAUUACAAAAUGUAUAUAUACUAAAUUGGAUUAUUAAUAGCAAUCCUAAAUAUUUUUAUUCUCUACCAUAUGCUUUCAUCUUUUUUCCCCACCUUAUUUGUACAAGAGAACACUUACGGGAGUACUGCAGGGGGCUAAUUUUUUUCAUCGGAGGAGAGGACUACAUAAUGAUAGCUAGCUGCACUCUUAUAAAAGUAAGAUGCAUUCAUUCUUCAUUGGUUAUAUGGUGCUGGGUUUGAGGGUGGCAGCCUCGGCUGGACAACAGAUGUAAGAUUGCGAAGAUAAACUAAUAUGCAUGGCUCGGGUGUGGAUUGCAAGGUCGAGAAUGAAGCUACUACUAGAUAGUUCCACAUGAUGUUUUAGAAUUUUUUUUGCAAGAUCAAUGCUUCAAACAUUAUGUUUUUACAAUGGCUGAGAUGUUAAUUGCAAGGUCGAGAAUUAGGUUGCUGCUACUAGAUAGUUCACAUCUUGUAAUCUUUGGAGUGCGUUCUUUGUAAUGCAACAGUCAA